CUUUUUUGUAGAAGGAGAGCUGAAUGAAAUCUUGCUUGGAGCUGGAGUCUGACAAGAAGUCCUCAUUCAGAUUCACACACGAUCGACAACCUGAUUCUUCUCUUUCAUCAUCCACUUCCUAGUCUUCUGCUCCCAGUUCACUUUGAUCAGAGGCUACUGUCUCAACAUAGAUAAAGAGAAUCAUUUUGGAAGGACCUCAGAAAAAGGAGCUGCUGGGGUCCUCCUUUGUCUGCUGUGUUUACUUGUCCUAAUUGCCAAGACUCUGAAGAGGGGGAUGAAAACAAGAGAAGAUGUGAAGACAGCUUAUGAACUGUAAAGUAUUGUUAAAAUCAAAGCCAUUACACUUACUUUUUUUUUCUUAAGGAAUUUUCCAAUCCAUUCUAUCCUGAGUUAGAAAAAAAAAAAAAAAACAACAAAACAAAACAACUGAAAACACUUUAUUUUAUCCUGAAAUAUUUAAUAAGCUAUAAGAAGCAUUUUGAUUUGUGGGGGAAGAUGAAACCUCAAAUUGAACUUCUAAGUGCUUGGUUUGUGUUUAUUACUAAUUUAUUUCCUUGUUAAACUUCGGAUGACGUGUGAUAAACUGUCUGUGUCACCGUGCUAUUGAUUGUACUGCAUUAGAAGCUGAAUUAAAUGUACAUUACUCUGGGGCUGGUCACCGUGAUGGACGCUUUAAAAGGUUUUGAGGGAGAAUAAGUGAGAACCAUUAGGGCCCUUUAGACUCUGUCUCCCAUUGGCCCCUGUCACCCUGGGGAAGUUCUCCUGUAGCUUGGUGGCAUGUAUAACUUUGUCUUAAUGCUUCCCCUAAUGAUUUCUAAUGACUGCUUGGUCAUACCACAUACUUUGUAAAGAAAUAGCUGUCUCCCACAACCUUGUCUUGGGCUCAUUCUAGAAGAUUAGGCCUUUGUGUAUACCCAUGUCAGAUACAAAAUUUCGUGGUGAGUCUCUCAGUACUAGGUACUCCUCUGCUGGUGUGAUUAAAAAACAAAACAAAACAAACAACCAACAACAAAAACAUGUCCAGGAGCAGCUUACAGAGGGAAGACUUUAUUUGGCUUAUGGUUCCAGAGGAUAUGGGUGCAGCAAGACCAGGAGGCGGGGCAGCAGGUGGCAGGCAUAGCACCUGGAGCAGAAGCUAAGGGUUCACAUCUUAAACCUAAAGCAUGAAACAGAGAGCAGGCUGAAGAUGGCGAGGGUCUUUAAAGCCCCAAAGUCUGCCUCCAGUGACAUACUUCCUCCCAUAUGGCCACUCCUCUGAAGCCUCACAGUGCCACCAACUGGGUACCAAGUGCUCAAAUGCCUGAGCCUAUGGGGGAUAUUUCUAAUACAGACUAAGACAGUCGUCAUUUUAUGAGGUCAUUUGCUCAUUGAUUCAUCCAUCUAACACCAGUUGAAUAUUAACACUGUUAUAUUGAGACAGUGGCUCCUUUUAUACCACCAAGUUAUCACUGGGACCAGUACUUGGAAAGGAGUCACUGUUGACUUAUCCUAGAAGAAAGUGUCAAGUUAUGGGAAAAUGAAGAAGUGGAGGCCAGAGUCAGGUUUCUAUUCCAGUAUCUCCCAGGUGGGUGGCAUUGGUCAAGUCACUUUUUAAAAUUUAAUUGAGCAUUUCUUUGGGGCUUUAAUGUGGUUAGUUUUUGUAGAUAUGUAUACAUGAAGACUGUGUUGCUUAUUGUGUAUAAGGCCCUAAGUUUACUUCAGUGACUUAAUUAAUACAACAAACUAGGAGAGCUGGAGAGGUGGCUCAGUGGUUAAGAGCACUGCCUGCUCUUCGAGUUUAAGUCCCAGCAACCACAUGGUGGCAUACAACCAUCUGUAAUGAGAUCUGCUGCCCUCUUCUGGCCUGAAGGCAUACAUGCAGGCAGAAUACAGUAUACAUAAUAAAUAAAUAUUUAAAAAA
rnacentral:lncRNA from 1 species